rnacentral:lncRNA from 1 species
GUGCCUAACACGCUCCUGCUGGUUUUGUUUCGGUUUCUUGUCAGAGGGAGCUGUCGGUGGUGCUGAACUAGGGGUGAGUUUGUGCCAUGUGAACAUCCUCGGGGGAUGCAGCCUCUGCCUCCACUCUGUGCUCCCAGAACUAUUUCUAGGCAUUCCUGGCUGUUGUGGAAGUUGGCAUCAGUGCCACAGAGAGCUGAGCGCCAGGUCCUCCCUACCAGCACACCCUCAGAGUGUGGGAGGGUAAAUGAGACUCAGCUGAGCCACGUCCACCCAGAAUUUACUGUGAGAGUUGGGUUCUGCACCAAGACUUGAACGUGGCACAUUGAAUGUGACCUUCAAGCAGCUCCUCCAGGUCCCCACACUGCAGAGCUGAGCAAACAGGGUAAUAUUUACACUCAGCAACUUUUGGAAGACGCUUCUAUUCUUCUCAAAUCUCAAUGACACGCAUCUUUUAUAGAUGAAUUAAUUUCUGCAGCUUUUAUUGUCUAGCCUAUUCCUGGCUACGGAGUGAAAGCGUUGACCUUGACUCAAGAAAUCCAUAGAGUUUAGAAGGAAUCAAUUUAAAACAUGGAGCGCUUGUGAAGGAGGUAAAUCUGCUCCAACACUCUGAACUAUGUGGGCUGGCAGAUCAUGACUGCAAUGCUUCCUAACUCUGCCAGCACCUCUGCCUUGCUGACAUUUUCAUCUUGACCUGAAUAUAUAAAACCCAGUUAUGCUUCUUGUUAUUAUCUCAUACCAGUUGGUGCAAUAUGGCCAUACAGGGAAAAGUCAUUAGGCCUGCAGAUAAACUAGGUUUUCCUUGCCUGCUCAAGAGAUAUAAAUCAGUCACAACUUAACUUUCCUAUUCCUUUUUUCCAUGUAUUUUCGUCCUCCUUCAAACUGUAGUUUCUGUGUAUAAAUACCAAUAUCAUUUAAAGGUAAAGAAUUAGGAAGGGAAAACUUAUAAAAUAUGAAUUCAAAUGUGUAGCUGUUUCUCUUCCUAAUUUUAAACUUCAUCUGGGAAAAUCCCUUUUGUCAUGAAGCCAUGUGCCCAAAAAGAUUAAUCAAGGAAACGAAAAUGACUUUUUUGCAAUGAGAUUUUAGUUGAUAAAUGUUUGCAAAGCACUCUUGAGACUUUCACAAGAUUAAAAUGCACAUGUUUGUAGGAGAAUGAUGUUAGCAAACCAAUGUCCUAGUGCUGCAUCCAAGGGCUGCUGAUGGAGUACUCUGAAUUAUUUAAAGUAUAAAUGUGUAAAGAUGCCUUUUCAGAUUCCUCACAGACUCAAAUUCAGUGUUAUUUCUCCUGUUGCUGCUCCUUUUUUGUGUGUUGUUU